rnacentral:rRNA from 1 species
GACGAACGCUGGCGGCGUGCUUAACACAUGCAAGUCGAACGGAAAGGCCUUCUUUCUCUUGUGGGUUCCGGUUACUCGCGUGGCGAACGGGUGAGUAACACCUGCGUGAUCUUCUCCCAACUUUGCUAGAAGCUUGGGAUACUGGGUCUAAUUCGCGACAGGACUGCAGGGGGGGUCAUGUGGUGGCGACCGAUUUUCUUGUGGUUGGGGCUGAGCUCGCGGUCUGUCAGGUUGUUGGUGGGGUAGUGGCUUACCGAGGCGGCGACGGGUAGCCGGCCUGAGGGGGUGGACGGCCACAUUGGGACUGAGAUACGGCCCAGACUCCUACGGGAGGCAGCAGUGGGGAAUAUUGCACGAUGAGCGGAAGCCUGAUGCAGCGACGCCGCGUGGGGGAUGACGGCCUUCGGGUUGUAAACUCCUUUCGACCGCGAGGAAGCCACCUGGUUGGAAGGGUGGUGACGGUAGUGGUAGAAGAAGCACCGGCUAACUACGUG